AAGGAGCAAUGGCCAUAUGCAAAGGAGCAAUGGCCAUAUGCAAAGGAGCAAUGGCCAUAUGCAAAGGAGCAAUGGCCAUAUGCAAAGGAGCAAUGGCCAUAUGCAAAGGAGCAAUGCCAUGUCAAGUCAAGAAUGAAGCAGCAUGCUGCAAAAGUCGACGUGUACGGAUCAUGUGCCCAGGAGGGGGCAGUGUGGUUGCCUUUGGUUAUGGGUGCACGACGGAAAGGUUGCAGGUGUGGACAGGGUUUGGGGGUCUGAUGGUUGGUCUUGCUUAAGAGGUGUGCUGUGGUUGUGGCUUAUCUGGAUCCAGCGUUGUCUUGCGCUUGGUUGCCAUUGAUGGCUCACUUGGGGGAGGACGUGGUUACGUGGAUGGACACAAAACCAAACUUUGACGUUGAGCCGAAUGUCCAAUUUUGCCAUGACUUGUACCAUUUUGUCUUUUUCUAACCUGCCACUGUCGUACUUGCUGCGUUCUUUGUUCUCCCCCCUCGGUGUAGGGCGGCGGAGCGAGCCGAUCCCGAAUGUCCAAUUUUGCAAUUUGACUUGUGACAUUUUGUCUUUUUCUAACCUACCACUGUUGCACUUGCUCUAACCCUAACCUACCACUGUGAUACUUGCGUUCUUUGUUCUCCCCUAGGUGUUGGAGCGAGACAUUCACAUUUUGGGUCUUUUUCUAACCUACCACUGUCGUGCUUGAUCUAAGCCUAACCUACUACUGUGCGUCCUUUGUUCUCUAGGUGUAGGGGGCGGUGUUGGGGCGAGCCGGUCCACGAGGAAGACGUAAUGAUGCGAGCUGCGCCCAACUCAUUGCAUGUUCUGCCUUUUGCAGGCCGGACGCAAAAGGGGGGGCGGCGCACGGCCCGAUCCGACCCGGCGACGGUCACCAAGAGUAGCUAGCCGCUGUGAUCAAAUGGCGACCGGGACGCGACACCAUCUGAUCAGAGGUGGACGGACCGCUGUGGCAUCGCUCUGAAGUAGCCGAGUUCUGAGGGAGACCCGCUUCCCUGGAGGCGUCGACCUGCGCAGCUUCAACGUGUGAAAUGGAUUUAUUUAUUUUUUUUAAAUUCACACCAGCGGUGUCCAAAUGUCUGUUUGAGGGCUGCAUACUGAAACAAAUUCAGAAUUCUUUGACACAAAUUCAUUAAAUCAAUCACGGAAUUUUGCCAUUCAUAUUUUGUGCUACUGCUACAAAGCGGUGUUGUGUUCAUUCAUGUGGUGUGUUGAUAAAGUUGCCCCGAGGCUGCCAUUUGGACACCAAUGGUGACAUGUGUAGGGCUGCACGCGUAUUGGAAAACUGCCAUAUGGUGGUAUAGGUUAUUGACAUGCACUUUAAGAAAGCUUUUAAGAUUUUUUUUUAAUGUGGCAAAUGAAACAUGUUUUCUUGCCUAACUAUUUGUAAUGAGUUUAGAAGAUAAGUCAUUGAUGCAAGUUAAAGUUAACUAAU